GCGAGAGUUACCGAGCCAGGUCAAAGGUGAUAGGUUCAGGGCCUAUUCUCGUAGGAGUUCGCCGGUUCGAAUCCGGCCUCUCGCA
rnacentral:tRNA from 1 species